rnacentral:lncRNA from 1 species
AUCAUUACAACAAAGAAAAGAGUGGCUGUAGCUCCUACCUCAAGGCAUAGUGCGGUCUGGAAUUUGUCGGUUGGAGUCAGAGCUGCAUCACACCAGUGCUUGGCAAAAAGCUUCUUAGCUAGCUGCCUCUGCAGUUCAACAUCGUCUGGAAGCUCCCACCUGUUUCCGUACCUGCAGAUCUGUUCUCCUCUUCCUGCAAAAAGCACUAUUUUGAUGUUCUGACUGUUCUGGGAGAUGAUGUUCUGAUAGCCAGCAAAAUUAUUAUUCUAAGAUGGUAAGGUAUUACAUGCCAUCGUUGGCAUCUGCCUAAUGAUGUUUUCAAUGAUGUUCUCAAAAGUGAAGGUGGACAGAGGCAAACGAUAAACUGCCUGUUUCAUAGUAGGUAGGUGCUGCUGAUUAAGGUAAGGUCUAAAAUGGUGACAUUCUUCCAGUUAUUUUAAUCUAGUUCAAAAAGGGAUGAAGCUGGUCUUGUGUCUAUUUUAUAACUCUUUCUCUGGAUACAAUCUGUUUGAGCUGGCUAAACUCUGAAGAGCACAUGUUAAUAAAUAAAUUAAUUAAUUAAUAAUUAAAGUGGCU